rnacentral:rRNA from 1 species
GACGAACGCUGGCGGCGUGCUUAACACAUGCAAGUCGAACGGAAAGGCCCUGCUUUUGUGGGGUGCUCGAGUGGCGAACGGGUGAGUAACACGUGAGUAACCUGCCCUUGACUUUGGGAUAACUUCAGGAAACUGGGGCUAAUACCGGAUAGGAGCUCCUGCUGCAUGGUGGGGGUUGGAAAGUUUCGGCGGUUGGGGAUGGACUCGCGGCUUAUCAGCUUGUUGGUGGGGUAGUGGCUUACCAAGGCUUUGACGGGUAGCCGGCCUGAGAGGGUGACCGGCCACAUUGGGACUGAGAUACGGCCCAGACUCGUACGGGAGGCAGCAGUGGGGAAUAUAGCACAAUGGGCGGAAGCCUGAUGCAGCAACGCCGCGUGCGGGAUGACGGCCUUCGGGUUGUAAACCGCUUUCGCCUGUGACGAAGCGUGAGUGACGGUAAUGGGUAAAGAAGCACCGGCUAACUACGUG